CGGGCUGUGGCGCAGUUGGUUAGCGUGCCGGUCUGGGGGACCGGAGGCCGCGGGUUCAAGUCCCGCCAGCCCGAC
rnacentral:tRNA from 1 species